UGAGGAACAUGACCUUCGGCGGGGAGUAGCCGGCCCGAACGGCCGGGUAAUACCGCGUACGACCACUUUGGGACAUCCCUCGGUGGUGAAAGCAGCAAUGCGCCGAUGGAGUGCCUCGCGGCCUAUCAGCUAGUUGGUGAGGUAAUGGCUCACCAAGGCGACGACGGGUAGCCGGCCUGAGAGGGCGAUCGGCCACACUGGGACUGAGACACGGCCCAGACUCCGUACGGGAGGNAGCG
rnacentral:rRNA from 1 species